AAAAACAGUUGUGUUUUUAUUUAUUUUUAAUAGAAACACGUAAUUUGUAGAUAGUCCCUCAGAUAGGCGAUGACGUCACGACACUCCAUAGAGGUAAGCGUGUUUAUCAGCGUCUUUAAAACGUCGAGUUCGACAUAAAAAUGUGUUCUGAAAUGUACUCAUCAUGGUCGGUAAUGAUACUUGACCGAAAGUGUCUUUUUCAAGUGCAUAUUAACAAAGUUAUUGAACGCGGAAGUCCGAAUAUAAAACCAACUUUACCCAAGUGGCUUGAGGAGCCGCUGUGGUCCGGGGGGAGGAGAUGACGCCGCUCAGAUUCAGCUUUUGGCCGCACCAGAGAAGCAGAACUGAUGACCACAUUAGUCCGUCUUUGUGUACGAGGCCACCGGAUAUGGAUUAACCAGGCGAGAAAUAAUCUAGGAUUCUACAGUAUGCAUGAAUGAGCACAUGGACUUUUUAAAUGUUUAGUUUUCACCACAAAAUGUGUUUUCUUUUCUCUCUUUGGACACAAUCCUGCUCUUUGUGGCUCUGAAGAUGAAGAGGAACUCAAGCAAGUGUCCUUCUCAUUAAAUCAGUGGCUUGUUAAAUCUACAGCAUUCACAGCAGUCCGCUUUGCCUUAUGUGACCUUCUCUCUCUCUCUCUCUCUCUCUCUCUCUCUCUCUUUCUCUGUGUCUCUUUGUCUUUGUGGUAUAAAGAGGUUUUGAGCGUGUGUUUGACGCUGGAACACAAACACUGUCUAAUUAAAGUGACAUUCGUUUGUCUGUC